CGCCUGUUUAUCAAAAACAUCGCCUUUUGUGUAACCAAAAAUAAAAGGUCCUGCCUGCCCAGUGAAUUUUUUUAUCAACGGCCGCGGUAUUUUGACCGUGCAAAGGUAGCGCAAUCAUUUGUCUUUUAAAUGAAGACCUGUAUGAACGGCACAACGAGGGCUUAGCUGUCUCCUUUUUCUGGUCAAUGAAAUUGAUCCCCCCGUGCAAAAGCGGGGAUACACCCAUAAGACGAGAAGACCCUAUGGAGCUUUAGAUGUGACGCAAGCCAUAUCUGCUACUUCCAAAUAAAGGAAAUUAACAUACUAGCCUUUGCUUCAACAUCUUCGGUUGGGGUGACCAUGGGGAACAAAAAACCCCCACGUCCCUGUACUGGAGUCUUCUUAAGAACCCACUAUACUCACUGAAACAAGAGCCACAACUCUAGUUAACAGAAUUUCUGACUACCGAUCCGGCAACGCCGAUUAACGAACCAAGUUACCCUAGGGAUAACAGCGCAAUCCCCUUUCAGAGCCCAUAUCGACAAGGGGGCUUACGACCUCGAUGUUGGAUCAGGGCAUCCUAACGGUGCAACCGCUGUUAAGGGUUCGUUUGUUCAACGAUUAAAGCCCUACGUGAUCUGAGUUCAGACCGG
rnacentral:rRNA from 1 species